UGGAGACUGAUUUUACAGGAAUGUGGAGCUGACCUAUAUCAAAGCAUUUUGCUGAACAUUUCAGCGGACGAUGUAUACUUUUCAAGGCAGAAAGUUUCAUAGGAAAUCAGAGGAAGAUGGGAGGCGAAUAUCUGCUGCACCACCAUGAUUGAUCGAUCUCUACACCAAGAAUGUCGCAGUCUAGGAAAUAAUCAGACAAAUAAUCCACUAAAGAUUUUAUGAGAUCUAUGUGAUAAUUAUGUUUUAUAACUUAGUCGAAAACCUUUAGAUAAUGGAAAAAGUUUUGAUAGUUAAGGCCUGCAACGCAAGUUUGAAAAACAUAACAAUUUUAGUUUUAUUUAUUUCUUAUGAUAUUAAAGUAAUGCAAAAUAAUACUUUUAGGUUAAUUCUUAUUAAAUAUGGAAGGAUUAUUUCAAUUUGAGCACGAAAAUUCUGUAAAGUUUGAAUUUUAAUGAUGUUUUUUUUUGCACGUCGCCUAGUUUUCUUAAUAAUUCUUAAUUAGCAAAUUAGCGGUUGUUUACUUAUGUUUAUUUAUUAUUUUUAGAUAUACAAGAUUUGUAAAUGCAGAUUAAUGAAACAAUACUUUUUAUUUUCAUUAGCUUCAGACUUCUAACUAUAUAUAACAAAUGUGAGCAUCACGUACCAGUAUUUUGUUGAAUUAACCACUCCAGUAAACCACAACCGCAACCGACACUGACAAUGCCCCGCAAAUUGUUUUCAGUAAUGAUACUCGUUAUCCACGAUAUGUCUUGCAAGGUUGGCGAGAUCCAAAGUAGUUUACGAGUAUCGGCAGUGUUACAAGUGUUAAAAAAAUAAAUGAUCUCUUUCCAUUUCUU